UACGGAGGGUGCGAGCGUUGUCCGGAAUCACUGGGCGUAAAGGGCGCGUAGGCGGCAGGCCAAGCGUGCGGUGAAAGUCCGGGGCUCAACCCCGGAUCUGCCGUGCGGACUGGUUUGCUAGAGCACUGUAGAGGCGAGUGGAAUUCCGGGUGUAGCGGUGGAAUGCGUAGAGAUCCGGAAGAACACCGGUGGCGAAGGCGGCUCGCUGGGCAGCGGCUGACGCUGAGGCGCGACAGCGUGGGGAGCAAACAGG
rnacentral:rRNA from 1 species